UGGAAAACAGAGGCGGUGUGAGAUAUAAUGUUGGCGUGGGAGGAAUCGGAAGGAAGAACCUGAAGUGGGUGAAGAUUUGACGGAGUUCGGAACCCAUGCGAUCAAAGUUUCGGAACUGGAGAUCUCUGGAUUGGGUUCCGAUCGCGAGUUUCGGAACUGCCGAUAUCUGGAUUGGGUACCGAUCGCGAGUUUCGGAACUGGAGAUCUCUGGAUGGGGUUCCGAUCGCGAGUUUCGGAAUUGGAGAUCUCUGGAUUGGGUUCCGAUCGGAACUGCCGAUCGCGAGUUCCGAUCUCUGGAACUGCAUAACUGUGAUCGUACUCCGAUCGGAACUGCAUAACUGUGAUCGGAGUCUGAUCAGUGAUGGGGAACUCUGGUCCGCAAAGGGGACCGUCCGAAGAAGGGGCCGUCCCAGAAAUGCGCCC
rnacentral:lncRNA from 1 species